rnacentral:misc_RNA from 1 species
GAUGAAGAACGCAGCGAAAUGCGAUAAGUAAUGUGAAUUGCAGAAUUCAGUGAAUCAUCGAAUCUUCGAACGCACAUUGCGCCCGCUGGUAUUCCGGCGGGCAUGCCUGUUCGAGCGUCAUUUCAACCCUCAAGCUCUCCGGAGUUUGGUGUUGGGGCGCCUGGGGCUUUUCGACCUCAGGGCCCUCAAGUCCAUCGGCGGGACCGCCAGGACACUGAGCGCAGUAGUAUUAUUUCGCUCGGUAGGAUCUUCCACGGCGGGUCGAUCUGGCCGCUAAACCCCCCAAUUCUCACCAAAGGUUGACCUCGGAUCAGGUAGGAAUACCCGCUGAACUUAAGCAUAUCAAUAAGCGGAGGA